rnacentral:rRNA from 1 species
CAGCAGCCGCGGUAAGACAGAGGAUGCAAGCGUUAUCCGGAAUGAUUGGGCGUAAAGCGUCUGUAGGUGGCUUUUCAAGUCCGCCGUCAAAUCCCAGGGCUCAACCCUGGACAGGCGGUGGAGACUACCAAGCUAGAGUACGGUAGGGGCAGAGGGAAUUUCCGGUGGAGCGGUGAAAUGCGUUGAGAUCGAAAAGAACACCAACGACGAAAGCACUCUGCUGGGUCGACACUGACACUGAGAGACGAGAGCUAGGGGAGCAAAUGGGAUUAGAUACCCGCGUAGUCCCUGUCUCUUAUAA